AAUAUAGUAUGAAUUAGUUUAAACAUUAUUUCGAAUUUUCUUAAAUCUUUAAUGUUACGUGGUAUUUAAACUUAAUAAACGCCAUAUGAAAAUAAAACGUGCCAGAAGCUGAACAGCUUUAACAGGCACAACCCAAUGCCAGUAAAGAAAAGAGACCCGUGUCAAAAGCAAGCAUGUGACAUUCAACAUUGCUUUGUUGUCUACAAGAACAGUAGAGAAAAGUGCCAGCGUUUUAUAGACGCUCUGAAGGAAUGUUGCGCUCAGCCCGGCACGGAGGAUUCUAUCGUCUGUGAUGGCAUGAGGCCAAACAAUAAUCCCAACAUGACGUCAGAGGGAUCUCGUAGUCAAUAGAAUCCCGACAUGACGUCAGAAAGAUCUCGUAGCCAAUAUAUAUUUUAUGUGUGAAUGUUUGCUGAUUGUGGAAAUAAAUCUUCUGUUUUAAAAAAAAAAAA